UACAGAGGGGGCAAGCGUUGUUCGGAAUUACUGGGCGUAAAGGGCGCGUAGGCGGCCUGCUAAGUCGAACGUGAAAUCCCUGGGCUCAACCCAGGAACUGCGUCCGAUACUGGUUGGCUUGAAUUCGGGAGAGGGAUGUGGAAUUCCAGGUGUAGCGGUGAAAUGCGUAGAUAUCUGGAGGAACACCGGUGGCGAAGGCGGCAUCCUGGACCGAUAUUGACGCUGAUGCGCGAAAGCCAGGGGAGCGAACGGG
rnacentral:rRNA from 1 species